GCGCCGCAAGCAUGACUGGUGAUGCACCGGACUCUUACUCCGGGGAACAAGGUUCGAGGCCUUGGCGGCGCACCA
rnacentral:tRNA from 1 species